AUGGAUUCACCAAAAUUACACAACAUUAGACUACAAACUUCUAUAACAUUGAUUCUCAUCAUUUUUUUUCUUACCUUAUUUGCUUCUAGUUUAGGGUCACAAAAUUUGAAGAAAGAUCAAAAGAAGUUAGUAUUGGGAUCAAGACCUCCUAGGUGUGUUAACAAAUGCUUGAGUUGCAAGCCUUGCAUAGCUGUUUUGGUUAUUUCUCCUCAUCACAAAGUUGGUCAUAUUGAUAAGGCAAUAAUAGAAGGCGAAAAAGAUGAAGGUUAUUAUCUUUUGUCAUGGAAGUGCAAGUGUGGUAAUAAAUUAUUUCAGCCAUGA